rnacentral:rRNA from 1 species
UGUCCAGACUCCUACGGGAGGCAGCAGUGGGGAAUCUUCCGCAAUGGGCGCAAGCCUGACGGAGCAACGCCGCGUGAAUGAAGAAGGUCUUCGGAUCGUAAAGUUCUGUUCUUAGGGAAGAAGUCUUAGGUUGUGAAUAAUGACUUAAGGUGACGGUACCUAUGGAGAAAGCUCCGGCUAACUACGUGCCAGCAGCCGCGGUAAUACGUAGGGAGCGAGCGUUGUCCGGAAUUACUGGGCGUAAAGGGCGCGUAGGUGGGCGCUUAAGUCAGGUGUGAAAACUCCGGGCUCAACCUGGAGACUGCACUUGAAACUGGGUGUCUUGAGGGCAGGAGAGGAAAGUGGAAUUCCUAGUGUAGCGGUGAAAUGCGUAGAUAUUAGGAGGAACACCAGUGGCGAAGGCGACUUUCUGGACUGUACCUGACGCUGAGGCGCGAAAGCGUGGGUAGCGAACGGGAUUAGAUACCCGAGUAC